rnacentral:lncRNA from 1 species
CUCCGUUUACCUUUGGCGAAGAAAAUGCCCCCACCGUUAACUUUGUGACCUAUUUCUACCCCUAAAAUCUAACAGAAUCUUGAAUUUCAUUUUUAAUUUUUUUUAAUGCCACGUGUCACGUUUUGAUUGGGACCAGUGUUAUCAAAAGCGUUCGCUUCAUCGCUUAAAGCGAGAAGCGACACGAAGCGGGACUACAUCUCUUUUUUCUCCUUCAGGCGACGCGAACAACAGAAGCGAGCGCUUACCUGUGAAAAGCGAGGCG